CGGGGGGCGCCCUAUACAUGCAAGUCGUGCGGAUGCUUCAAGGAGCUUGCUCUUUGAAGUGUUAGCGGCGGAUGGGUGAGUAACACGUGGGCAACCUGCCCUACAGAUGGGGAUAACUCCGGGAAACCGGGGCUAAUACCGAAUAAACAGUUUGUCCGCAUGGACAAACUCUGAAAGACGGUUUCGGCUGUCACUGUAGGAUGGGCCCGCGGCGCAUUAGCUAGUUGGUGGGAUAACGGCCUACCAAGGCAACGAUGCGUAGCCGACCUGAGAGGGUGAUCGGCCACACUGGGACUGAGACACGGCCCAGACUCCUACGGGAGGCAGCAGUAGGGAAUCUUCCACAAUGGACGAAAGUCUGAUGGAGCAAUGCCGCGUGAGUGAAGAAGGUUUUCGGAUCGUAAAGCUCUGUUGUAAGGGAAGAACAAGUAUGGGAGUAACUGCCCGUACCUUGACGGUACCUUAUUAGAAAGCCACGGCUAACUACGUGCCAGCAGCCGCGGUAAUACGUAGGUGGCAAGCGUUGUCCGGAAUUAUUGGGCGUAAAGCGCGCGCAGGCGGCCUUUUAAGUCUGA
rnacentral:rRNA from 1 species